UCAUUUUCUGCACAUUUUCUUGUUUGUCUUAAAAAUUCACUGGUAGGGAAACGAGCAUUAAUUCCAGUUGGGAAACCUCAUAUAUCUCGGUUUUCCCAAUCGGGACUAAAGGUCCCCAUCUUUAGUUCUGGAUCUUUCACCUAGGACUAAAGCCAUAUCUUUAGGGUUUUGCGCCAAAAAAUAUCAGAAAUUCUCGGGAGCCCCCUCCCCCCUCCCUCCC
rnacentral:lncRNA from 1 species